UACAGAGGUCUCAAGCGUUGUUCGGAUUCAUUGGGCGUAAAGGGUGCGUAGCCGGGGCGGUAGGUCGGGGUGGAAAUUUCGAGGCUUAACCUCGAAACUGCAUUUGAUACUGCGGUGCUUGAGGACUGGAGAGGAGACUGGAAUUCAUGGUGUAGCAGUGAAAUGCGUAGAGAUCAUGAGGAAGACCAGUGGCGAAGGCGGGUCUCUGGACAGUUCCUGACGCUGAGGCACGAAGGCCAGGGGAGCAAACGGG
rnacentral:rRNA from 1 species